rnacentral:rRNA from 1 species
CAGUAGCCGCGGUAAUACGUAGGGUGCGAGCGUUAAUCGGAAUUACUGGGCGUAAAGCGUGCGCAGGCGGUUGUGUAAGACAGGUGUGAAAUCCCCGGGCUUAACCUGGGAACCGCGCUUGUGACUGCACAGCUAGAGUAUGGCAGAGGGGGGUGGAAUUCCACGUGUAGCAGUGAAAUGCGUAGAGAUGUGGAGGAACACCGAUGGCGAAGGCAGCCCCCUGGGCCAAUACUGACGCUCAUGCACGAAAGCGUGGGGAGCAAACAGGAUUAGAUACCCGCGUAGUCCCUGUCUCUUAUAC